AGACAAYUUUUAACGGUGGAUCUCUUGGCUCGUGCAUCGAUGAARAACGCASCCRGGUGCGAUAAGUAGUGUGAAUUGCAGAAUUCAGUGAAUCAUCGAAUCUUUGAACGCAAAUGGCGCUCUUGGGUUCUCCCAGGAGCAUGUCUGUCUGAGUGUCGGUAUCCAACUCAUCGCGCGCCACCGUCGUCCGGUGGGUCUGCGCGGCGUUGAGGGCAUCUCGG
rnacentral:rRNA from 1 species